AUUGAACGCUGGCGGCAGGCCUAACACAUGCAAGUCGAGCGGAGCGGCGGACGGGUGAGUACUUCCUAGGAAUCUGCCUGGAAGUGGGGGAUAACGUCCGGAAACGGGCGCUAAUACCGCAUACUCUCAGCUGAGCCUAGGUCGUGUUAGCUAGUUGGUGGUGUAAAGGCCUACCAAGGCGACGAACCGUACCUGGUCUAAGAGGAUGAUCAGUCACACUUGAACUGAGACACGGGCAAGACUCCUACGUGAGGCAGCAUUGGGGAAUAUUGGACAAUGGGCGAAAGCCUGAUGCAGCCAUGCCGCGUGUAUGAAGAAGGCCUUCGGGUUGUAAAGUACUUUCAGCGGGGAGGCGUUACCCGCAGAAGAAGCACCGGCUAACUCCGUGCCAGCCGCCGCGGUAAUAC
rnacentral:rRNA from 1 species